rnacentral:rRNA from 1 species
UACGAGGGGGGCGAGCGUUGUUCGGAAUUAUUGGGCGUAAAGGGUGCGUAGGCGGCCUGACAAGUCUGAUGUGAAAUCCCUGGGCUCAACCCAGGGCCUGCAUCGGAAACUGUCGGGCUUGAGUAUGGGAGAGGUGAGUGGAAUUUCCGGUGUAGCGGUGAAAUGCGCAGAUAUCAGGAGGAACACCGGUGGCGAAGGCGGGUCUCUGGGCCGAUACUGACGCUGAGGAGCGAAAGCGUGGGGAGCGAACAGG